AAAUUUACUUUCUUUAUUUUAUAAAAUAAAAUUUGAUUUUUAGAUUAAAAAGUCUAGAUAUAUUUAGAGGACGAGAAGACCCUAUAGAACUUAACUUUUUUUUAUAAUAAUUACUUACUUGUAAAUGAUCAGUUAUUAUUUUAUAAAAAGUUUUAUUGGGGUGAUAAAAAAAAUUUUUUAACUUUUUUUAUUUUUUUCAUUUAUUUAUGAAUUUUUGAUCCUUUAUUAAGGAUAAUAAGAUUAAGUUACCUUAGGGAUAACAGCGUUAUUAUUUUGGAGAGCUCUUAUUAAUAAAAUAGUUUGCGACCUCGAUGUUGGAUUAAAAUUAGUGUUAGGAGUAGAAUAUUAAUCACUAGGUC
rnacentral:rRNA from 1 species